UACGAAGGGUGUAAGCGUUACUCGGAAUUACUGGGCGUAAAGCGUGCGUAGGUGGUUUGUUAAGUCUGAUGUGAAAGCCCUGGGCUCAACCUGGGAAUUGCAUUGGAUACUGGCAGGCUAGAGUGCGGUAGAGGAUGGCGGAAUUCCCGGUGUAGCAGUGAAAUGCGUAGAGAUCGGGAGGAACAUCUGUGGCGAAGGCGGCCAUCUGGACCAGCACUGACACUGAGGCACGAAAGCGUGGGGAGCAAACAGG
rnacentral:rRNA from 1 species